UGGCCCAUAAUCAGGCAACUGCAGAGUCUUAGGGGGUUAUCUAAUGUAGUCUUGGGGUGGCUGGAUAGACUUCCCAAAGAAGGUGAUGCCGAAGCUGAGGUCGGAAAUUACGAAGAUCAGCUAUAUCUUUAAUAAAUGAAAUAAAUGUGACUGUAUGUCCUACAUCCCAUUCCUGUUGUCUUCCAUGUCUCCUCAGAGGAAGGCCUGAGGAGAGAAGACACAUAGUCAUGCUGACUAAACCAGAUCACCUAGAAUUACCAAAUGGAAAGAUUGUGCCUGCAGCCUGGCCUGUUGCCCACAGCGGUCUACCUGCCACACUGGGAAAGAUCGAGCAGAGACAGAGAAGAAAAGGAGGCUCCAUUUUUCAGGCUGCUCUCCCGCAGGCUCAUGUUUUGUGUUCAUGCCAGGCAGAGAACACAAAAUGUUCCAAUAAAUAAGUAUCAAAGGUUAGUGGUGAAAAUGAAGGAGGAGGAGGCAUUGCGUGAAAAACUAAACAUGCAAAAUAUUACACACAAAGAGAACCAAAAUGCAGGUUCACUGGAAAUGAUAGACAAUAUGUUAAAACAAGAGGAGAGAAGAGAGCUGAAAUAAUCAAAUGGAAACACACAAUUUAGGGCUAAGAUCUUGUUGUGUUCAGCCACAAAUGAUGGCCAGCAGUGAGGAAUCUGUGUGUUCUCCACACUCUUCGCUCCUGGGAAGUCAACUCACAUGGACCAUGAUAUCAAUAUCUGCUCCUUCCCCUAAUAUCUGUUUGACCUUGGGUCAGUUACUUAAACUUCCUAAGCCUUAGUUUCUUUGUCUGGAAAAUAGGGAUAGUUAUACCUACCACACAACCACUUUGUAAUGAAUAUGUUGGAAAUUAUAUGCAAAUUGGCUUCCGUUGGUGUUUGGAACAUAGUAGGUUUUUAACUGGAAUAUAAUAGCUACCAUUAUCAGUAUCAUCAUAUUAAUUUAUAUUUCCAUCUUCAGCCCUUAACCCAGGAUCUUCAGUAAAUGUUGAAUUCUCAAAUUUGUUAAAUUCACUUGUCUAUACUAAUAUUUUACUCUAGGUUUCUUAGAAUAUUCUAGAUAAUAUUAUUAUGUAGAAUAUGUUAUGUAAGCUUCAUCUUAUCUGUAAAUAUAGUUUUACUUUUUCCUUUCUAAUUUUUAUGUCGAUUACUUCUUUUUCUUGGCUUAUUGAAUUGGCUAGGAUUCCCGUACAGUGUUGAAUACGUGCAGCAAGACUGCACAUCUUGCCUUGUUCCUGGUCCCACAGAGAGAAUAUCCAGUACUUCACAAUAAGUAUGUGUUAAUUGUAGAUUUUAUUAGAUUGAGGAAGUUCCCUUUCCUUUCAAGUCAGUCUUUUUAUUUUAAACAUGUAUUGAAGUUUUGUCAAAUGUCUUCAUCUAUUGGAAUAAUUAUACAUAUCUCUUUUUUAUUCUGUUAAUAUUACAUUUCAAUCUUCUGUCUACCUAAAAUCCCUAGAAUAAUCUCCAUUUGGCUAUGAUGUGUUGUGCUUUUAUAUAUUACUGAAUUCUAUAUGCCAAUAUUAUUAAAAUUUUCUGUCUUUAU
rnacentral:lncRNA from 1 species